UACGAAGGAUGCGAGCGUUAUCCGGAUUUAUUGGGUUUAAAGGGUGCGUAGGCGGUCUUAUAAGUCAGUGGUGAAAUCUUGUCGCUUAACGACAAACGUGCCAUUGAUACUGUAGGACUUGAGUACAGAUGCCGUUGGCGGAAUGUGUCAUGUAGCGGUGAAAUGCAUAGAUAUGACACAGAACACCGAUUGCGAAGGCAGCUGACGAAACUGUAAACUGACGCUGAUGCACGAAAGCGUGGGGAUCAAACAGG
rnacentral:rRNA from 1 species